GGAGUUAGCCGGUGCUUCUUCUGUGAGUGAUGUCCUUCCUGCCGGUUAUUGACCCGCAGGCCUUCUUCCUCACUGAAAGUGCUUUACAACCCGAAGGCCUUCUUCACACACGCGGCAUGGCUGGAUCAGGGUUGCCCCCAUUGUCCAAUAUUCCCCACUGCUGCCUCCCGUAGGAGUCUGGGCCGUGUCUCAGUCCCAGUGUGGCUGAUCAUCCUCUCAGACCAGCUACGGAUCGUCGCCUUGGUGAGCCGUUACCUCACCAACCAGCUAAUCCGACAUAGGCUCAUCCGAUAGCGCGAGGCCCGAAGGUCCCCCGCUUUCCCCCGUAGUGCGUAUGCGGUAUUAGCCUGGGUUUCCCCAGGUUAUCCCCCACUACCGGGCAGAUUCCUAUGCAUUACUCACCCGUCCGCCGCUCGCCACCAGGGAGCAAGCUCCCCGUGCUGCCGCUCGACUUGCAUGUGUUAGGCCUGCCGCCAGCGUUCAAUCUGAGCCAGGAUCAAACUCUGA
rnacentral:rRNA from 1 species